GCUGCAAAGUCUCGUUAGUUUAAUACACUGAUUCGUAAUCAGUAGGUCCGCAGUUCGAUUCUGCGCAACAGCACCA
rnacentral:tRNA from 1 species